rnacentral:rRNA from 1 species
GACGAACGCUGGCGGCGUGCUUAACACAUGCAAGUCGAACGGAAAGGCCUGCUUUCCCUUGUGGAUUGCGGGUACUCGAGUGGCGAACGGGUGAGUAACACGUGGGUGAUCUGCCCCCAACUUGGGUAUAAGCCUGGGAAACUGGGUCUAAUUCCCGAUAGGACUGCAGGGUGGUGCCUGUGGUGGAAAACGAUUUUCUAGUGGUUGGGGAUGAGCUCGCGGCCUAUCAGCUUGUUGGUGGGGUAAUGGCCUACCAAGGCGGCGACGGGUAGCCGGCCUGAGAGGGCGGACGGCCACAUUGGGACUGAGAUACGGCCCAGACUCCUACGGGAGGCAGCAGUGGGGAAUAUUGCACAAUGGGCGGAAGCCUGAUGCAGCGACGCCGCGUGGGGGAUGACGGCCUUCGGGUUGUAAACUCCUUUCGACCGCGAGGAAGCCACCUGGUUGGAAGGGUGGUGACGGUAGUGGUAGAAGAAGCACCGGCUAACUACGUG